AGAAAUCGCUGUUUAAGGACUACAACAAACGGCUGGUAGGGACUACAACGAGCUUCGUCCCAGAUGAACUAUCCCUUUAAGAGGAACAUCCAUGUUUUUCAACACUUACCGAAGUAGUCUGACGGUCCUAACCUGCCGACCUCUACGAACUCCUCGUUUUCUGACCUGCGCUGCAGAACGGCUGCACAUCCCUGAGGAAAGAGACACGUCAUGACACCAGCACAAACCCUGACAUGCUUUCAGCAGACGGGAAACUUCACCUCCAGGAUGAUGAAGAACUCGUCCCCUGGUUCUCCCUGAACCACGAUCUUCUGGCUGUCCUCGAACUGCACCGGCUCCAGAGCAUCAGCCACAGUCAGACGCUCCCACUUAUCCAGAGACUCUGCAAUGACCCCACACACUCACGUCACAGGAACUCACGAGAUACAUCUCUCUAUGUGUCACUUUAGAUAGAUAGACUUACCUAAUAUCGAUACUUUGCUCAAGAACUCCUCAUACAUCUUCCUCUUCCUCAGAGUGCUUCCCUAUAGUCAAACACAGGAUAUACGCAUGUUUAGUAACACGAAGAGCCUUUGAACACUGCAGUGAUGUGAGGGAAGGUCAGGUGUACCAUCAGUAUCCUCCUGUAGCUGUCUCUGUCGAUGCCCCAGAGCUUCACGUUGGUCUUGGCUCUGACGGUGGCGGCUCUCGGGGUGCCGUAGAUCAGAGCCAGCUCUCCAAAGCUGCCGCCCUCUCCAAUGCUGGUGACCCACUCACUGUUCACAUACACCUGUGGAGAAACACCUUCGUCACACUGUACUGUCGUAACAGGAUACUGAUUGAGAACAAAUCCAGAGUGUGACUGCAUCGGUUGAAAAGGUUUAUGGUUUAUUAUACGAAUACAUAUGAAGUGAGGAGGUGUAACUUACAUCCAUUUCACCCAUGUCAAUGACAUAGAAGUUAUCGCCCUCGUCACCUAGGAAACAAGUGUGAAACAAGAAAUUAAAUAAAUGUACAAAUAAGAUCAAUACGACUCUUCAUCAGCGUUUUCAAAGUUCUACCUUGUUGGAUGACGAUUUCUCCUGCAAUGUAUGUGACUGGAAACAUUGCGUCAAAUAUGUCACUGUAGGAUAAAACAGUACAGAAAUUUGGUUAGUAAAUUAUCUUUAGCGCUUGAACAAACAAUAACACACAGAAUUAUGCCAAAAUUGCCUUUUUGUGGAGUAUCCUAAUGAGAGCAGUUUAAUAACGUCUUAAAUAGGGUUGUGAGGAAAUGAGAUGCGUGUCAUGUUCGGCAGCGUCAGCUCUUAAAGUGACAGCAGCCUAAUAAACCAGUUACUGUGAUGAUGUCAUUAAUGUUCAUCAAAGAACAAAAAUAACAGAAAAUUGUAGCUUUAAUAAGGAUUCAUCUAUAUUUCAUUUAUCAUUUAUGCAGUGAACAUUGUAUUGAUCAAUUUCUGUAUAUUUCUUUCCUGUUAUAUGACAUUUAUUAUAAUGGGUUUAUGUGAAGAUUGUUUUAAGUUCACUUAAAUUAAAAGUUGUUAUUUUUUAAAGCCUUAUAAAUGUUGAAAUUGAUAGAUUUCAGUGAUGCUGUGAUGUUGAAUGUCUGUAAUCAAAUUUCAUAGAGACAUCAGUAUCAGUGAAUCUGACCUUCAUUCAUAAAAAGAUGCCAUUAAACAAAUAUUUAAAAUAUACUGUGUUUCUAAACUAAUUUAGAAUUUAUUACAAUAUAUAAAUGUAUUUAAAUAUUUAACAACUCCACAGAAAAAAAGUGCAAGUAAUUAGUUAAUUUUUAAUAGAUUGACAGCACUAAUUACAAGUUUUCUGAAAUGUUGUUUAAAUAUGCGAAUGAGGCAUUAUAUAAUUAACAAUGAAUAAUCUGCAUACUAUUCCAGAACAGAAAUCUGAACAUCAAAUAAAGCACAUGAACAUGAACUGA